rnacentral:rRNA from 1 species
UACGAAGGGGGCUAGCGUUGCUCGGAUUGACUGGGCGUAAAGGGCGCGUAGGCGGUUCGUACAGUCAGACGUGAAAUUCCUGGGCUCAACCUGGGGGCUGCGUUUGAUACGUGCGGACUUGAGUGCGGAAGAGGGUCGUGGAAUUCCCAGUGUAGAGGUGAAAUUCGUAGAUAUUGGGAAGAACACCGGUGGCGAAGGCGGGUCUCUGGGCAUUUCCUGACGCUGAGGCGCGAAAGCGUGGGGAGCAAACGGG